UACGGAGGGAGCUAGCGUUGUUCGGAAUUACUGGGCGUAAAGCGCGCGUAGGCGGCUUUGUAAGUUAGAGGUGAAAGCCCGGGGCUCAACCCCGGAAUUGCCUUUAAGACUGCAUCGCUUGAAUCCGGGAGAGGUGAGUGGAAUUCCGAGUGUAGAGGUGAAAUUCGUAGAUAUUCGGAAGAACACCAGUGGCGAAGGCGGCUCACUGGCCCGGUACUGACGCUGAUGUGCGAAAGCGUGGGGAGCAAACAGG
rnacentral:rRNA from 1 species